GACGGGGGGGGCAAGUGUUCUUCGGAAUGACUGGGCGUAAAGGGCACGUAGGCGGUGAAUCGGGUUGAAAGUGAAAGUCGCCAAAAAGUGGCGGAAUGCUCUCGAAACCAAUUCACUUGAGUGAGACAGAGGAGAGUGGAAUUUCGUGUGUAGGGGUGAAAUGCGUAGAUAUUAGGAGGAAUACCAGUAGCGAAGGCGGCUCUCUGGACUGUAACUGACACUGAGGCACGAAAGCGUGGGGAGCAAACAGG
rnacentral:rRNA from 1 species